AUAAUUUUGGCAGAGUGUAACAAAAUCAGCUCCAGUUUUAGCUUCUGUCUCCCCAUGGCGCUCUCGCCAUUUUCAUCCAAUCCUUCUUUUUCUUCUUCUUCUUCUUCUUCUUUUCUUCAUUCUUCAUCGUUAUCUUUCCACUUUAUUCUUCGCCAUUCUCAAAUCCCAUCUUCAAUCAUUUUCACACCUCAACGAUUCAAAAUUCACUGUUCUAACAACACAAUUCAAGUUGAAACCCAACCCCCUCGUCGUAUCCGAGUUGAUUUUGAAGUAAAGAAGAAGCGGAAACCCAGGCCUAGCUUCCUCGAACAAAUUCGCCACAAGUGGUCCACAAAACCCAUUUCCUCAACACAUACCUUCCCCUGGCAGCAGCAAGAACAAGAUAGACACCAUAAACAGGAUGAGGGAGAGGGGGAGGAAGAGGAAGAGGAAGAGGAAGAACAGGUUGCCAAUCAAACUUCUGUUUCAAUUCCCGAGUCAACAACUGAUGUAACUCAAGCGGUUCCUAUAACUCGCUCAAUCUCAGCCCCUUGGGCUCACGGGAGCCAAUCGAGGAACACCCAGUUUGAUUUCAAACCUAAAACGCCAAACGGUGAAGUGAUCAAUGAGAUAUCCAAGAUCUCUACUGAUGAUACUAGUAAUCGAAACGCAAGUACCAUCAGUAUUGAUGAAAUUUCAGAUGAUUCUUCGGAAGACGAGGCAGAAAUUGAUACUGUAGUUCUACCAGUUACUGAAAAACGUUCAACAUUAAGUAAAAAAAUUGUACAUUCGGUCAGUUCGGAUAAUGAUGACAAUGGUCGAGUUGAUUUGCCAUGGAAGAGAGAGCCGCGAAGGGAUUCUGAAGUUGACGCAGGUCAGAGAAGAAGUAAAACAUUAUUGGCUGAGCAAAUGCUUCCUGAGCAUGAACUGCGGAGGCUCAGGAACAUUUCUUUGAGAAUGGUGGAGAGAAUCGAAGUGGGGGUUAAAGGUAUAACUCAAGAACUGUUGGAUUCUAUACAUGAGAAGUGGAAAGUAGAUGAAGUUGUCAAGUUGAAAUUUGAAGGGCCUCUUACUGUCAACAUGAAGAGAGCACACGAGAAAUUAGAGAAUAGAACUGGCGGAUUGGUCAUAUGGAGGUCAGGUAGUUUGAUAGUAUUGUAUAGGGGAAUGACAUACCACCUCCCUUGUGUUCAAUCUUAUGCAAAGCAAAAUCAAGCUAAAAGUAAUACAUUGGAUGUUCCAAAUAAUGUAGAAUCUGAUGAUAUUACACGCAAUGAGAAGUUACAUACAACAGUUGGAACUAUGAGUACAAUUGUUUCAGGUGCUUCGAAGCAUACCAAGACGUUAUCUAAAAAGGAACUAAUGGAGUUGAGUGAUCUGAACCAUUUGUUAGAUGAGAUAGGUCCGCGUUUUAAAGAUUGGUCAGGGUGCGAGCCAGUGCCUGUUGAUGCAGACCUACUUCCUGGUAUAGUUCCGGGAUACAAACCUCCGACUAGAAUUCUGCCUUAUGGGGUAAGGCAUUGUCUCAGGAACAAGGAGGUGACGAUAUUUCGCAGGCUUGCAAGAAAAAUGCCUCCACAUUUUGCUUUAGGAAGGAAUCGGCAAUUACAAGGUUUGGCCAAUGCUAUGGUGAAGCUUUGGGAAAAAUGUGCAAUUGCAAAGAUUGCUAUAAAACGAGGUGUAGAAAAUACAAGAAAUGAGAGGAUGGCAGAAGAACUCAGGAUAUUGACAGGAGGAACACUACUCUCUAGAAACAAGGAAUACAUUGUUUUCUAUAGGGGCAAUGAUUACCUACCACCAACUAUCACAGAAGCAUUGAAAGAAAGGCGAAAGCUAGCAGAUCGUCAGCAAGAUGUUGAAGAGCAGGUACGACAGGUGGCUUCUGCUGCAAUUGAGUCGAAAGUGAAAGCUUCAAAUGCUCCGCUGGUUGCUGGAACACUUACAGAAACCAUUGCAGCAACUUCUCGCUGGGGAAGCCAACCAAGUGGUCAUGAUAUUGAAAAUAUGAGAGAAGAUUCAGCUUUAGCAAAACUUGAUUCUUUAAUUGAAUACCUUAAGAAGAAACUAGCUCUUGCAAAAUGCAAGGUCAAAAACGCAGAGAAGAUAAUAGCAAAAUUGCAGGAGAAGAAAGAACCAUCAGAUCUUCCCACUGAUUUGGAAACCAUAACAGAUGAGGAAAGACUUCUAUUCCGUAAGAUCGGUCUCAGUAUGAAACCAUAUCUACUCUUAGGUAGGAGAGGUGUUUAUGAUGGCACCGUUGAGAACAUGCACUUGCAUUGGAAGUUCAGAGAGUUAGUAAAGAUAAUUGUAAGAGGAAAAACUCUCCAACAAGUCAAACACGUUGCAAUCUCUCUGGAAGCAGAGAGCAACGGAGUGGUGAUUUCUUUGGAUAAAACUACUAAAGGUUACGAAGUUAUUGUUUAUCGUGGGAAGAAUUAUACCCGUCCUGAUGCAAUGAGGCCUAAAAACAUGUUGACAAGAAGACAGGCGUUGGCUCGAUCAAUUGAGCUACAAAGACGUGAGGCACUAAAGCACCAUAUUUUGGAUUUGGAGGAAAAGAUUGAGCUGCUCAAGGCUGAACUGGAAGAAAGGAAAAGUGGGAAAUGGCCCUUGAAAGGUUGACGCUUCUUAUCUGGUAGAAAUUAUGAAGUGUUGUCAUGUGUCCAGAUUUCAAGAUGACUUUGGAUCUCUUUGGCAGCAAUGCCAAUUGUAGAUUGAUUUGAAAUCCAGCAACUAGCCAUUAAGAGAAAGGUGACUUAUGGUUUGCAGCAGUGAAGUGCAAAUUUCCUUUCAUUUGGGAGCAAACCAACAACAUUUCAAGACAAAGAUCAUAAACCAGCAGCCUCAUUGAGCCAAAGCAUGUAGAAAUCAACCUUCUUGUGGAAAGUCUUGAAUAUGAUUUAUCACUUCACUUGUCUGCAGAGGUUGGGAGACUGAUGAGCUUUUAUAAGUCAAUGGCAUAGCGUAGUUUACCUUAUCUGUCUCUUUGUCCUGCUGAAGGGAUGUCUUGAUGAAGUCCAAAACUACUGUGGCCAAGUCUACUUGAUGUAAUUCUGCUGUAUAGUUGUGAUCUGCUCCUUCUAAAAUGUAUAAUUUGUGAUUAGAGAUGAUCUUAUCGAACUCUUUCGCAUCGUCAACAGGGAUUAUUCCAUCUUCAGUUCCAUGUACAGUCAACACUCUGUACACAUUAAUAUUCAUUCAUUCAUCAGUGAAGUAAUUUUUCUCCUAAAAUAUGAGAACCAAUACAUUUCUGUAUGAGAGAAUUGAGAUGGUUUGAUUUGCAAGGGGAAAACAAAUAUGGAUUUUGAUGAA